GAGACAACUCUUUGCAGAGCUGAAAUCCCUGACACAAAAAUUGCAUACUUUAUUUGUCACAAACUUUAAUUAAUAAUCAUUCUUGCUCUAAUAGAUUCAUUCCUCUGAGGACCCUAAAGUACUUCAGAAAAACUAAAAAAUGAAUAUCACGUUACACCAAAGAAGAAAUGAAAGCUGCCAGUGUCUUCUGAAGUUAAACAGGCUCCUGUUCUUUGACCCAGCAAUCCAAUCCCAGUGCCAUGUUUGUGGACAUCCCCCCACUGCCCUUCAUCCUCAGAAAGGAACAGCCUCCUGUGGGUUGACUUGGUGAUAUCUGUCCAGAGAUAAUGUCUCCAGCCCCAGGCUCAUCACUCAGACAUCUGCCCUCAGGAGGACACGUUCAUCCCCAGCACCAGAGACAUGUCUGCCAAGG
rnacentral:lncRNA from 1 species